rnacentral:lncRNA from 1 species
GCCAUUCCCACGGCGUUCAUGUUCAUCUCCUGCGUGCUCUUCUUCGUCGGGACCAAGAUCUACGUGAAGGUGCGGCCGGAGGGCAGCCCGAUCACCAGCAUCGCCCAGGUGCUGGUGGCGGCGUUCAGGAAGCGAGCGCUGAAGCUACCUGAUGACCUCAAGGGCUCUCUUUUUGACCCUCCACAUAUCAGUUCUCUGAUCUCCAAGCUGCCGCACACCGACCAGUUCAGGUACUUGGGAGCACAAGAAGUGAGAUUUCAACUCAGAAGAACACACCAAACCUAUAUUUUGAUGGCAUAAGAUGAUCUAAUAAAUUAGUGGAACAAUUUUAAUUAACCUCAAUCCAUUUGUAACACUUCCUUCGAAGUUGAUAACAUCCAAACUAUUGCAUUCCAAAGCUACUACAAUUUGCUUCAUGAGGUUUAUAAUAAAACUAUCACUAAGUUUACUAUAUUCUAAGAAAAAUAAAGUUAUCAACUUGAUAUGUUCAACUAUCACUACUACACGUGAAUUUUUUUUGCUUUUUGCUUACAAUUGCAGUUUUCUUGACAAAGCUGCGAUCAUAACCCCCAUGGACGAUAUCAAACCGGAUGGCUCAGCUUCAGAUGGAUGGAGAUUAUGUAGCUUACAGCAAGUGGAACAGAUGAAAUGUUUAGUAAGAAUCAUCCCUGUUUGGUCUUCAUGUAUCAUCUUCGAGGUUACCGUCGUUCUGACAUGGACUUACGUCGUCUUCCAAGCCCUUCAAUCCGAUAGACAUCUCGGGCACAGUAACUUUGAGAUUCCUGCUGCAACUUUUACUGUGUUCGCCAUGGCGGCCAUGACCAUUUGGUUGCUUGUUUACGACCGUUUCGUCGUCCGAUUGCUUCAGAGGGUUACUGGAAAGGAAGGUGGCAUCACGCUGCUUCAAAGGAUGGGGACUGGCAUUGCUCUUUCGGUCGUGAUGAUGAUUGUCGGUGGCUUGGUAGAGGAACGGCGGCGGAGUUAUGCGCUUCACAAGCCGACACUGGGGACUGCAUCCAAUGGUGGUGCCAUUUCAUCAAUGUCCAGCCUCUGGUUGAUCCCUCAGCUCGUUAUUGCUGGUCUUUCGGAUGCUUUCAACCUCGUCGGCCAAGUUGAGUUCUACUACAAGCAAUUUCCCGAAAACAUGAGGAGCAUGGCAGGGGGUCUGCUCUUCCUGGGUUUUGCAUGUUCCAACUAUCUGGGCACCUUGAUAAUAACUAUCGUCCAUCGAACAACUGGUGGACAUCAGAAGAGCAAUUGGUUAGCAGAAGAUCUUAACCAGGGAAGACUAGAUCUUCUCUACUUCUCGAUCGCAUCAUUAUCUGCCGUUAAUUUGGUCUUCUUCAUUGUAUGUGCAAAGUGGUACAAAUACAAAACCUCAGACAAAGACCAUGAGAUUGCUCUGCAAACAAAGGAGAUCAGAAGUUCUGUAUGAGCAAGUAUCUGAUGCACUGGAUCUUUACAGUGCACAAGAAUAAAGAACAAGGAUAUGGAAUCAGGUUUCAUCAGAAGAGAAGUAACAGUUCUGUUAAUCAUGCCUUUUCCUAUGUACUGUUGAUUCCUCUUUUUUCUUUUUAUUACUAUUUGAAGCUGCAAAACUUUUAUAAGAGCAGAAUGCUGUUCAUGGUAGAUGCACAAACAGUGGUUCACCCUCUCUACAUGUUAUAUAUGCUAAUAUCAGAUAAUUUCCAUUGUGAAACUUUUUGUGCUCAUUGAUAUCUAUUUUGAACUCAGCUGAUAAGUCGCUUGAUAAACCUAACAUACUCCAAGAAAUAGGCAUUAUUUAUAUUGCUGUGCCGAGUAGUUUGCCCAGAUAGGCCUGCUUCUAAGACUAAAAGAUCUUCACCAAGGUAAAGUGGGAUAGAUCAUGCAGAUACAUGCAGUGUAUCAAAGAUAAAGCUGUGUAACUCUUAAUUGGUGUCAGUCUAGCCUGCCUUCAAUUGGUUUUAACCUCAAAUUAUGACAUAAAAGUAAGCACCCAUCAUAUAUAUGCAAGUAAGAUGAGCAUCCUAUCCCCAGAUCUCACAUUGGCAGGAGCCUCAUGCACCGCUCCGGGUAUGUCCUUUUCUUUUACAAAUCAUCUGCUAAUACGAAAAGUCAUCACUAAGUUGUAAGUCGAUGAACCUGUACCAUUUAUGUGCCAGACGACUCUGAAUAUGAGCACAACCCACAUCGGCACUGCAAUCCUGAUCAAACAGGUGAUGCUAUUUUUUACCAUCUUAUAUACAAUAUUAAUUGUGAAGCUUUCCUCUAUAUUCUGAUAACAGCUCUAUAAAGUCAGAAAAAAGGAUUCAUGUGAAGAAGUGUUAGUUUGAAUAAGCACAUGGAACUAAGCAUCCAAUGAUUGAUUUGAUUGCUCUGAGUAAUGAUGGGGAUAUAACAGGAAUAACCUUUGUAUAUGAACAAAUACUAGAAGACCAUAAUACGCAGCAGAAUUAAAUAUAAGCACAAUCAAACAGAACACCAAGAUAUACGUGAAAAACCCCUUCAAUGUGAAGGGUAAAAACCACGGGGCAAACUAGAUAUAAUCCAUUAUGAGAAUAAUGAAUAUACAAAUCUCAAUCUCUUGCCCUAAACCCUAGCAACAAUCACAAGAGAACAACUAGGAUACAAGGAUCACGUCACUGUCCACGAUAUCUAAAACCUCCCCAAGUAAUCACAGCAAGAGUCUACUGUAGAUUUGAUCUAACCUGAGAUGAGCACACUACUAGAUGAUUGAGAACAACCUCUCUACAUUGUCCUUGUCUUCUUCCCUUUCUUUCUCUUCUUUUUCUACCUUGUUUUCCUCUUUUUCUUUAGAAUCUCAUGACUGUUUUUCUUCUCUCACGUUGCUACCCUAUUUAUGCCUUUUUCUACCUUCAAAACGCAGCCACCACACCCCCUAAUGUUAAUUAGGGUUAGGUUAAGAGGGGGUGUGGGCUGUGGGCUGCCUAAGCCCACUAUGAGCUGAAUCUGUGGACUGUCAGCCCAACAAGUAAGUAUCGAUGCACAAGAGCUCUUCCGACAGUGAAGAAGUUAGCUUCAAAAUGAAGUUUGGCGAGAGAAGAAUCACCAGUAUAGGAGAAUUCCUUCCUUCCAAGACCAGGAAGCUGACCAGCGAGUAGUAGUGUUUCUGAAUUCUUGCGAGCUUCAUGCUCAGAAAAGAACCGGAGGAUAAGCGUGAAUGAACUCAGAGGAUGUCUUAGAAUACCAUUUGAUGACAGCAUCAGAUAUUUCUGAAUCAGAUGCGAGCUGAAACUCUCUUCCAAACCCUUAUCCUCUAACAAUUUGGAGACAAAUGAUCUGAUACCAUGACGACCAAGAAUCAAAUGUGAGCAUCAAAUGACUUCAGAAACAGAUACGAAGUGGAAGUAUCAAGUUUUUUAUAUUGAUUAAUAUUUAAUAAUUAUUAUAAUUAUUUAUUUAUUAUUAUUAAAUUAUUUCUGCAUAAAUUAGAUUAAAGAAUAUUUGGUGAAUAUAAUUUAUAAUUUAUAUUCCAAUGUUUUAUCUAACUAGUAAUUAUCAAAAUAGCUUAAGAUGAUAGAAUUAUUAGAUAUAAAUUAUAAUAAAUAUUUUAUUAUUUAUAAGAUAUUUUAAAGUAUAUUUUAAAUUAUUGUAUUGGUUUUGUGACCACUAAAGUGGUCUAGACUAAUAACUUAUAAAAUUAUAUCAAAAAUUAGUUCUCAAUGAUAUUAAGAAAAAUAAUAUUCAUAAUGACAUAAGAGAUUUAGAUAAUUCUAAAGGAGAAUCUACUUUGAAUAGUUAUAUGAUACGAUAGGAUUAUACUAUUUUGGAUAUCUUUACAGUUUAGGGUUGCAUACCGAAAGAUAAUAAUACUAUUCUAUAAUAAUGGUAUCAAUCCUUCGUAACGAUAAAAUCUUGUAUGAAUAUUAGAUAUAUCAAUAUCUCACCUAAACAUAAAAUAGAAAUUAUAUUAAAAAUACAACAUCUAUCGAAAAACUUAAAAGUAUUAAUAUUAUAUUAUUUUAUUAAAAUGAUACUUCAUUAAUUGCAUUCUUACAAACGUUCGUAUAUUUUCUAAAUUAAAUUAUUAUGACUUAAGUAUGUACAAUUUAUACUAAGAGUUAGAUAUUAACCUUUUUGUUGAAAGCAUCGUAACUUAAACACUAAAAAUUAUGUGAGAUAAAUAAUUGAAUUAUUGAAAAGGGGCUGAAAGGUUUAGUUUUAAUAAUUAUUAAUAAUAUUUAGACUUUAUUACAUAAUAUAACUAGCACAUUAAAAUAUUAAAAAAUUGAUCUAAAAUUACUAAUAAGUCAGUAUCUUAAUAAAAGAACUAACUAUAGCUUAGUAUCAUAGUAUUUGAGGAUUUCUAAGAUAUAUCCUUGUUAUGAUUGAUAAAACUACAAAACUUAAGGAAUUUAUAUUGAAGAACUAUUUUUAGGUAUUUUUAUUAUUUAUGCAGAAAAAUUCAAAGGGAUAUAAAUUUUAUUGUCCUAGUUAUAAUAUUAGGAUAGUUGAAUCUAAUAAUAUAAGAUUCUUAGACAAUAGUGAAUCAAUGAGAGUGAAAAUUUUAAAAUUUAAUCUUGAUAAGGAGAUCCUUUAUCAUUUUAUAUUUGAGAAGUUGUUCCUCAAAAUAUUAUAUAUAUAUAUAUAUAUAUAUGAAUCAUAUUAUAAUAUAGGAAUCAAAAGGAUCCCUUAUUGUUUUCACAAAUUAUGAAAAGUGAUAAUUCUGAAAAAUAGUAUGAUGCAAUAAAAAAAAAGUUAAAAUCGAUAGAUUAGAAUGAUGUUUGAGAAUUCAUCGAAUUGUCUAAUAAUUAUAAAAGAAUCGUCAGUCUUUAAGAUAAAACAUAACUCAAAAGGGAAACAUUGAAUAUAUAGAGUCGGAUUUAUGGCUAAGGUUUUACUCAGUUUAUCUAAUGGACUCGUUAGGAAUCAUUAUUACAUUAGUGACAUAUUAUGCUUUUGAGUUACAGAUGUAAAGUUAAUUUUUUUGAAAGAAAUCUAGAUAAGAAAAUUUAUAUGGAUUUACCAAAAUAAUUUACAGAGAAAAAAAUAUAAAAUUUGGUAUGUAAAUUUAGAAAAUUUAUUUAUAAUCAUAGUAUAUAAAGUUUCAUGAUACCAUUAGCUUCUUCAUAUUUAAAAAAAAUACUGAUGACCAUACUUUAUAUAUGAAGAUUAUUGUGAGCAAACUUGUUAUAUUGGUCAUGUAUGUAAAUGAUAUUUUGUUUAUUAAUUGUGAUAUUUAUUUAUUACACGAAACAAAUAAAUUUCUUAUCAAAAAUUUUAAGAUGAUUGAUAUAAUUGAGAAAACUUAUCUUAUUGACAUAAAGAUAUUUAAAGAUAUCUUAAUACUUAUUAAGAUGGUAUUAUAAAUAAUUUAUUAAUUGAGUCUUGAAGAGAUUUAAUAUGUAGUUUUGUUUAGCAAAGGACAUAUGUGUAAUAUUCAAUCAAAACCAUUGUUUUCUAAAAUUAACUUAGAAAAGAAUCAAAUAGAGUAAUAAAUAAAAGAAAAUAUUACUUAUGCAUACACAAUUGGAAUCUAUUAUAUACUAAAGUCUAUCUCAAAUCAUAUAUCAGUUUUGUAGUUGGAAUACUAUGUAAAUAUUAGAGUUAAACAUGAUAUGAAAUAUUGAAAAGUUAUAAAGAAAGUAAUAAGAAAUCUACGAGGGACGAAAGACUAUAUGCUUAUGUGAAAUCAAAUUAACUUAAAAUACUUAUAUUUUCAUAUACUAAUUUUAUAAAUUACCUCGAUAGCAAGAAGUUCACUUCCUAAAUAAUAUAACAUAAAUUAGAAGGGCAAUUUGCAAGAAUAAUAUAAUAUAAAUUAUAUUAUCAAUUGUAAAAGCUGACUUCAUGACAUGCUUUCAGGUCAUUAGUUAAGCUUUAUAACUAUGAAAUUUCAUCUGAAAACUUGGUGUGGUUAUACUCGAUUACCAAGUCAUUAAAGAUAUUUUGUGAUAUACCACAAUAAAUUUUUUUCUCUAAGAAUGACAAGUACUAUAGAAGUUCUAAACAUGUUGAAAUAAAAUACUCGGUGGUCAAAAAAUGAGUACAAUAACAACUAGUGUGAAUUAAGAAUAUGAGUUCCACUAUAUUGAUUAUCGAUCCAUUUAUUUUGAUCUUACUACCUAAAGUAUUUUAAAAAAUAAUCUUAUAAUUUAGUUUGUAGGUAAAUUAUAAAAAAAUUAGUGAUGCAUAUUUAAGUGAACAUUAUAAUUCAUAUUUUUGUUUACAUAAUUAAAAUUAUUUAUUUUUACUAUCUUAUUAACAUUUAUAUAUGUAUAUAUUUUGGUUAAAUAUGAAUAAUAGGAUUGUCUUAAUAAGAUAAAUUGUAAAGAUAAUUAUAGACUAUUAUAGGAAAGACAAACAAUGUUGUAGUAUAAGAGAGUAUAAUAUUAAUGACAUAGAACCACUAUAACUCAUAUUAGUAAAUAGAUUUAAUGAAGUAUUAUUGUAUCUUUUGGACUUAUUGACUUAUUUUAAAAAUUCAUGACUAUGUAUAAAAUACUUUUUAUAAUUUUUAGAAUUUAAUUAUGUAAAAUUAUUUUAAAAUAAAAUUUUAUUUUAUUUAUUUUAAUUUUAAAUUUUAUUAUAGCUUACCAAUUAAUGGGCUAAAUGAAAGAAUUUAGAUUAUACGAUUUUAUCUAAUUAGAUAAAAUAUAUUAUAGAUCUGAUUGAAUUAUGAUUACAAUCAUCAUUAGAAAGUUCAAUUAUAGUAAGAUUCCUUAGGAUAUCGCCUUAAUGGAAGGAACUCGCGUAAUUACAUCAUAGACCCUUUAUUUUUACCUAUAAAUAGAUAGGAUCUCCUAUGGACUAAACAUCAGAAAUUGAGAGUAUAAAUUUAUUCUCAAUCUCCAAGAUCUAUUCUCAAUCUCCCUAAGUUUCUAUUCCAUUGUAGUAAUCCUGAGAAACACAUAAGAAGAAAGGAGAUCAUGUGUUUAUAAUCAGAUAAAUAUGUUUUUGAAUGACAUUGAAUGGUAGGCACAUCUUGACCUUAAUAUAUUUUUUAAUUAAUUUUUUUAUAUAAUAAUAAUAUAAUUAUAAAUUUUAUGCUUAUAUUCUUUGCUUAUCUAUCCCUUUGUUUGAGAUCUAAUAUUUAGAGGUGUGACCCUCACCUUUGUAGACACCUUUCCAUAGAUCUUGAUUCAGCGGAGGCAAUGCAUCCUUUUAUUCCAUAAAAUGAUUAUAUAACAAGUUAUAUCUUACUCAGAACUGUCUUAUAAACCUUAGAUCAAUGUGAAAUGGUGUAAAUCUGCAGAAAAUGUAACUACUGGUCUAACCUCAAUCGUCCAUGUUUACACUCCUACCCGAAUGCUUUAAUCAUCCAAGCUAGUGGACUUUGGCACCUCUGUAAACCUUAAACAUACAAAAGGGUAACUCUCUGUUUCUCAAAACCAUCCAUUAUUUCAUAUAUAUUCGAUUUAGAAGUAUAGAGAAAUAUUCAGACACCUAAGUUCAGUCUUCACGUCGACAUCAACUGAAUGAAUUAUAGAAUGUGAGUGCGUCAUCUACUGACAUUAACUUGAACCGAAACAUUUUGAAUUAAUAAUUUAUAGCAAUCCACAGUGUUUUAGGUUGCCUGUCUUGGAUCCAUCUGAACUCUGCACUCAACUCGAAGUGUAUGAUUGUAAGAUUAGAGCGGCUUUAAUUGCUGUGCCAUCACUGCUACAUCGUUGAUUUUUUAGCAGCAGGAAUCUCGAUCUUGAAAUCCAAGCAAACAAACAAGGAAUUGUAAUCUCCUCCUCGUUUCCCACUCGAAGAAGGUGGUGAAAAGAUGCAUAAACACACGAUGGGUAUAUAUAUGCGGUCUUCCUCACAGAAACAAACAACCACGGGUCUCGGCGUCAUCUCCAUCAAGAUGGUCUGUGUGUUCAACACAGUCACGUCGCCUCCCCCUGCUUUCCUAUUCCUCCUCCUCCUCCAUUGAAAGAACACAUAUCGAACACAAGACCUGCUUUCCUUUUUCUCCUCCAUUGAAAGGUCACAUAUCGAACACAAGGAGGACAUCUCACACUAAUAGACUGUUGGGUGUUCUGAUUUCUGCAAAGUCGAUAGAAUGUGGACAUAAAUGAAAUUUGGAGGUUUGUGGAAAGAGGAUGGCAUCCAGCACAACGAUGGCUGGGUUUCCAAUGGAUUUAUCCUUGAAGAACAUCAACGUGGAAAAGCAAGAAGAAAGAAGAAGAAGAUGGUUGGCACCCAUUCUGGACCGAUUAAGAUAUAAGACAUUCUUUACAUGCUUUCAGGAGUCAAAAGAUUCUCAUAAGGAGAGAGAGAGAGAGAGAGAGAAAGAAGAAGCCCCAAUAAGACAAGUCCCAAGUGACCAAACCACUUCCCUCCAAUGAUAAUCUCUAUUUGAUUUCUUAUGUGGGAGUCUAAAUCACUGCUCAUAAGAGAGUGUAUAUAGUUGGAGUUAGGAAUGCCUCGUCGUAAGCAUUCCAUGCAUCCAAUACUAAUCAUACGAGAGACUACGAGCACGUUGAUUGUAUGUGACAUUCUCGUAGUGUCAUUCCUAAAAAUAUUAUUAGAAGAUAAAGAGAUUAAAAAAAUUAAGAGAAUAAUUUUACAUUGAUAAAUAUCAGCUUAAGUUCUUAAAUUAAAUUAAUAUUUAACUUGAUAUAUAUAUAUAUAUAUAUAUUAAUGUUGAUUAAUUUAAUUCACUCAUCAUUCAUGCAUUUGUAAGAAAGAUUUUCCUCUCCUAUAUGUUUAGAUUCUGCAACCUACAAGUCAGAUAAAUACUUCGUGUAGGGGGUUGGAUCCCACUUUCGUCCCUUUCUCCAUCUUAACGGUGUUCAUGCUCGCUGGUACUGGUUAUACUUACUAGUAGACUGCUUUGAACGGUACUCCGUUUUUGUGUGGUCGAUCUAGGCCCUCUCUCUCCACACUGUGCAGGCUCACGAACGAUGUAGAGCUUGUAUUCACUAUAUCUAACUCUCGGUCUCUUCUAUUCAUCAGAAGAGAGAGGAGAAGGGAACGCGAAGCAUGACGACGUCGACGCCGGAGGAACCACAGAAUGGGGAAGCAGCGAAGCCUGUGAUCAACUACAGAGGGUGGAAAGCCAUGCCAUACGUGAUAGGUACGUGGAACACAUGCUCUCCCUCCACCUUCGCCCACGCACCACUUGACAUCUCACGAGAAGGAGAAUUCUGGGCAGGAAACGAGGCGUUUGAGAAGCUGGGGACGUUCGGCACCUCCGCCAACCUCUUGGUCUACCUCACCACCGUCUUCCACAUGAAGAGCGUCGCGUCGGCCACCCUCGUCACCGUGUUCAACGGCACCACCAACCUCGCCUCCCUCCUCGGGGCCUUCCUCGCCGACACCUAUCUCGGCCGCUACGCCACACUGGGGGCCGCUUCGAUUGCUUCUCUCUUGGUAUGCUACCACGGUGAAGUGCUGCCAUUCUCUCUCACUAGCUCUUCUCGUCUUCUUCGUAUGUGUUUGAUGAAAUGCCAACCAAAUAAAACUCCCAGAGAGUAAGCUGAAGAUGAACUUGCGUUCUGACAGUCUACUGACACGCAUUAGAGAAAGAAAAGGAGAGAAACAUUUAGAAAUAGACUAUGCACUGACAAAAAGGGAACAAAAAGUAAAAAUAAAUAAGAUCAAAAUUGAAGCCACCACCAGAUAUUAGAUUAAAAAAAAACAUGAAACAGCUAUUUUAUCAAACACUUGAAGAGACACACCACCGAGAGUAGCAAGAAAUUUGCUGGUCUUUUUGUUUACAUGCAAGAGGUAACAAGUCGUAUGUGAGCUAAAAUGAUAGGGCCCAAUAUACUAACGCAUGAUAAAUAUGAUGUAAGCCUUCGUGACAAAAAGUACACAGAGAGACAUAUCAGCACAUGUUAGCCAUUAUUGAAAGCCAGUAAAGCUGUUCCAGGGACAGUCAGGCUUGUGGAUCGACAUACUCCAAUUAUUGAUAGUAAGCCUAUCAGAUUGCUGUCUUCUAAUCCUAUGUGUCCAUGAUGAUUGAUGAUGUUGAAGGGCAUGCUCAUUCUCACACUCACGGCUGCCGUCUCCAAGCUUCACCCUCCUCCCUGCAGCAGUCAUGGCGACGCAUGCCACGGCGCGAACCCAACUCAGCUGGCCGUACUCUUCGCCAGCUACGUCUUCAUGGUCAUCGGAGCCGGCGGCAUACGCCCCUGCAACCUGGCGUUCGGCGCCGACCAGUUCGACCCCACCACCGAGGCGGGGAAGCGCGGCAUCGCUAGCUUCUUCAACUGGUACUACAUGACCUUCACCUUCGCCAUGAUGGCCUCCUCCACCCUCGUCAUCUACGUGCAGAGCAACGUGAGCUGGUCGCUGGGGCUGGCCAUUCCCACGGCGUUCAUGUUCAUCUCCUGCGUGCUCUUCUUCGUCGGGACCAAGAUCUACGUGAAGGUGCGGCCGGAGGGCAGCCCGAUCACCAGCGUCGCCCAGGUGCUGGUGGCGGCGUUCAGGAAGCGAGCGCUGAAGCUACCUGAUGACCUCAAGGGGUCUCUUUGUGACCCUCCACAUCUCAGUUCUCUGGUCUCCAAGCUGCCACACACCGACC